rnacentral:ncRNA from 1 species
GGUUGAAAUCUCACUGCGUGAGGUGAAAUCUCUACGAGAUGAAAUCUGCUACGCAGGUGAAAAGGAAA